rnacentral:rRNA from 1 species
UACAGAGACUGCAAGCGUUAUUCGGAUUCACUGGGCGUAAAGGGUGCGCAGGCGGCCAAGUGUGUGAGGCGUGAAAGCCCGAAGCUCAACUUCGGAAUUGCCUUUAAGACUGCAUCGCUAGAAUCGUGGAGAGGGAUGUGGAAUUCCAGGUGUAGCGGUGAAAUGCGUAGAUAUCUGGAGGAACACCGGUGGCGAAGGCGGCAUCCUGGACCGAUAUUGACGCUGAGGCGCGAAAGCCAGGGGAGCAAACGGG